UUUUACCUGAAAAGCACAAGGUCCUCUACUCCAACAAUUAAUCCACACAUAAAAACGGUCAACCGAAUCGUUUCUAGGCUUCUUCUCUGGACGUUACAUUGUGACUGGCAAAUUUAAUAAAUUAGGUGCAUUAUCGCCACCGACCUUGUUCGUCUUUCAGUCACCCACGUGGGUAUAACCAAUGAGGAGAUGUCACGUGGGUACCUGCUUCUAUAAACCAAUGAGGAGAUGUCACGUGGGUACCUGCUUCUAUAAGCCAAUGAGGAGAUGUCACGUGGGUACCUGCUUCUAUAAGCCAAUGAGGAGAUGGCACGUGGGGACCUGCUUCUAUAAGCCAAUGAGGAGAUGGCACGUGGGGACCUGCUUCUAUAAGCCAAUGAGGAGAUGGGAGAGGCAGGACUGGCAGCGUGAUCUGCGUCAGAAAUAGAACUGACUUCUAUUUUAGCCCUUGGCAACGCAGACGCUCGUUGGCAGGUGCGCGCAGUGUGGGUGCAAUAACUGAAUAAUAUAGAUUUCUAAAUGUAUUUUGCACCGACAGAUUAAAUAU
ensembl:lncRNA